rnacentral:lncRNA from 1 species
AAAGACACCCACUCACACAACACUAGGUAGUUAAGUCAUCACUCAUCACACACCCUUUUAUUGCUACCAUGACCUACAACCAAAUUCUAUAACAUCAUACUCAACCUUCAUUCUCCAACCCUCUCCAAAAAACUACACCCUAUAUCCUAAACAAACAUGUAAUAACAUUGUUGUUUCUUGCUUUUUCUACCACCUUAUCCCUAUGGUAGGGUUGGUGAAGAUGCAUAAUAUAUAUGGAUGGUGAGUGUUAGUGUUGUUCAUGCUCCUUUUGGCUUUGAUGGUGGAGCAAGAAUAAGUUCAAAGUAUUGAUGGGAAUGAACACUCUUUCUCUUGAAAAGGGCAACUUCGAUCCUUUGGCAUUUUCCAAUUCCUCCAUGUGUGUGACUUGGUUUCUCCAUGGAGCUUUUUGGAAAUAUAAUAUACCUAGUACUUCUAUGUAAUGUACUUCACCCCUUUUUUUCUUUCAGUUUGUACUACUUGUUUGUAUUUUAAUUCUAAGUGAAUGUUAUGUGUAUUAAUAUAUGAUGCCUACUAUAGUAUAGGCAGACAAUAAAUGUUAAUGUAUGUUGUCUAUUGUUGUUGUCUUUCACAUGGAUAAAUCUCUUAACAUGUUUUUAUUUUGUUUCUUAAAUUAUAUUUGCAACAUUAGUGUUUAUUGAACAUACAAAACAUAGUACGUUAUACAUAUGAGACAUUUAUUAAAGCUAAAUAAACUUUUCAGUUUCCACUAUCUAGUGUGCUAAACGUGUUAUGAAAUUUCCUAUUAAAUAAGGUAUAAAUAAUAGUUUCCCAUUCUCAAUAUUGUCUCUGAAAAAAUUGGUUAGUACUUGAAGUUCUUAGAGCUUUAUAUGCCUUCAUCUUUCCCUAGUUCUUAAAAAAUGUGACACAUUUUAUUUGCAUUUGUGAACUUUGCCACUAGUUGUUCUCUUUCCACUUCAAUUUCUCUUAGAUUUAUGUAACUAAGUGAGAGAGAAAUUAGUCCAGAUUUAAGUAACUAAGAUGCUUGUCGAUUUUUUUGCCUAACAUUAUAUUUCAUGUUUUUUGGAGUAGUCGUGUCUUGUUAGCAUGGCGUGGUGUUUCUGUAAUUUUAUUAGCCUGACAUGGAGUUUCAAUGACUAUUUGUCCCAACUAAUUGAUAAACUAACAAGUGUUACAAUGUAGGAGUUGAAGAGGUAAUAAGGUACCUAGCUAAUUGAACCAAAUGCUUCAUAAGAUUAGCCUAUAGAAAUAAGUCCCUACCAUAUAAGUACAUAAGCUACCUCAAACAAAUUGUCAAAUAUAAGUUUAUGAAGUAAAAUAAAGGAUAUUGUUGGCAUGACCGACCAUUCUGGUUUGUCGGGGGCUGAUUUUUUCAUGUUAGAUGGCUUUGGCAGGUCCAUACUCAAUGCAUAGUUGACUUAUAGGUGGUAUCAGGUCUGGUAGCUGUAUUGUAGCUUGUCCUUGUCGUGUGGCAGGAAGGUAGGUGAGAUUUGGAGGCGACGUGGCAGGUAGAAUGUCAGGGUAGUGGUCCUAGAAGUUGUCCACAUGUCCACGCAAUUGUAAGGCAUGUGGUUAAGCUUUUUGUCUGACCAUGCCCAGUUCUUGGUCGACUAGGGAAUAAGGCAACUCGGCCAACAUGGAAUGCAUGGUCGGCCAGGUGGAGCAGCAUGGUCGUUUAGGGAAUAACACAGCUCGAUCAACAUGGAAUGCCUGUUUGACAAGGAUGGAACAACCAAAAAUCAUUAGAUUUAAGUAUUUUGAUUCAAUCAUAUAAUAUAAUGGAGAACGUGAGGGAAAUAUUCAAGUUAGGUAGAUAAAAUGGCAAAGUGGAUCAAAUGUCAUAUAGAAGAGACUCACUUAAGCUUAAUGAGAAAUUUUAUCCCAAAGUUGUAAGACUUGUAAUGUUAUAUUAGACAAUUUUGAUUGGUAAAGUGUCAACAAGAGAAUAAAUUCAAUAUAGCAGAGAUACGAGUGUUACUUUGGAUGACUGAUUACAUUAUAUAAGAUAUGAUUAAGAAUAAACACAUCAGGGAAGAAUUUGGGUAGCUCUUAUUGGUAGUUAAAUGGAGAUUAAUAUCAUCAACAUUUCAGAUGAGCCUAAUCUUGAGGAUUUGUAGCUAGUAUAAAUUAAUGUUGUGAAAUCUGAGUCAAACAUCAAAU